AGUAAUGUAUCACCAAAUUAAGCAUUCCUACAACAUUCCUCCCUAAAAUCAAAUAUGGGAGAGUUUCGAUAAUGCUGUGGGGUUGGUUUGCUGCCUCUGGUACUGGGGGCCUUGAACAUGUGCAAGGCAUCAUGAAAUCAUCAGAGUAUCAAGGGGUUUUGGAGUGGAGUGUUCAACACGGUGUCCAAAAACUAGGUCUCCGUCAAAGGUCGUGGGUAUCCAGCAGGACAACGGACCCAAGAACAUAAAAAAAGCACCCAGGAAUGGUUAGAGAAGAAACACUGGACUGGAGUAGCCACCAAUGAGUCCAGAUCUGUGUCCCAUCGAAAACUUACGAUGAGAUCUGAAAACAGCAGUUGGUCAAAGGCAACCAUCAAACAUUGAAGAAUUGGGAGCAGUUUACAGCUGAAGAGUGAGCAAAAUUGGAUCUGCAGAGAAGAAUGGGAGAAACUCUCCAAAUACAGAGACCCACAACAAAGGGGAACUGCUUGACAAGUGGGAGGCCGAGAUCUUUGCCAACAUACAAGCUGAUUAUCUCUAUCGAUAGACGGACAGGCUGGCUGACUCUUCUUCUUCUACAUACACUGUGUUCCAAAUGGUACCUUACCUCCUACAUAGUGCACUACUUUUGACCAGGGCCUAUAAGACUCUGGUCAAAAGUAAUGCCCUAUAUAAGGAAUAGGGUGGCUUUUGGGACGCAGUCCUACUCUUUGUGUUUUAAGGGCAGAGUGUUAUCAUUUUGUUAGAAUACGUUACACAACCACAGUUGGCACAUGAUAGACUCAGGCACGUGUGUGUUGCUCUAUUAUAAUUAUUAUAAUUAUUAUUAUCCUCAAACUCUAGUAGAUAUAUUAGCCUUCUGCAAACACAGAGUUCAAUGGUUUUUUUUUCAUGAGAAAUGUACAAAGGUUACAUACUUGUGGACUCGAUGUAAAAUAAAUCAUGUUUUCAAAUGG